GAUGAACGCUGGCGGCGUGCCUAAUACAUGCAAGUCGAGCGAACGGACGAGAAGCUUGCUUCUCUGAUGUUAGCGGCGGACGGGCGAGUAACACGUGGAUACCCUACCUAUAAGACUGGGAUAACUUCGGGAAACCGGAGCUAAUCCCGGAUAAUAUUUUGAACCGCAUGGUUCAAAAGUGAAAGACGGUCUUGCUGUCACUUAUAGAUGGAUCCGCGCUGUCUUAGCUGGUUGGUAAGGUAACGGCUUACCAAGGCAACGAUGCAGAGCCGACCUGAGAGGGUGAUCGGCCGUCCAGGAGCUGAAACACGGUCGCGACGACUGCGGGAGGCAGCAGUAGGGAAUCUUGCGCAAUGGGCGAGAGCCUGACGGAGCAACGCCGCGUGAGUGAUGAAGGUCUUCGGAUCGUAGAAAUCUGUUAUUAGGGAAGAACAAAUGUGUAAGUAACUGUGCAGAUCUUGACGGUACCUAAUCAGAAAGCCACGGCUAACUACGUG
rnacentral:rRNA from 1 species